rnacentral:rRNA from 1 species
AUUGAACGCUGGCGGCAGGCCUAACACAUGCAAGUCGAACGAGUGGCGGACGGGUGAGUAAUGUCUGGGAAACUGCCUGAUGGAGGGGGAUAACUACUGGAAACGGUAGCUAAUACCGCAUACCAUCGAGGUUCCCCAAAUGGGUUUAGCAAGUGGGUGGGGUAACGGCACACCUAGGCGCCGAUCCCUAGCUGGUCUGAGAGGAUGACCAGCCACACUGGAACUGAGACACGGUCCAGACUCCUACGGGAGGCAGCAGUGGGGAAUAUUGCACAAUGGGCGCAAGCCUGAUGCAGCCAUGCCGCGUGUAUGAAGAAGGCCUUCGGGUUGUAAAGUACUUUCAGCGGGGAGGCGUUACCCGCAGAAGAAGCACCGGCUAACUCCGUGCCAGCAGCCGCGGUAAUAC